rnacentral:rRNA from 2 species
UAAAGUCUAACCUGCCCACUGAAAAUUUUUAAAUGGCCGCAGUAUUUUAACUGUGCAAAGGUAGCAUAAUCAUUAGUCUUUUAAUUGAAGGCUGGAAUGAAUGGUUGGACGAGAUAUUAACUGUUUCAUUUAAAUUUUUUAUAGAAUUUUAUUUUUUAGUCAAAAAGCUAAAAUUUAUUUAAAAGACGAGAAGACCCUAUAAAUCUUUAUAUUUUAUUUAUUUUAAUUAUAAAGAUUAUUUUUAUUAUAAUAAAUUAAAAUAUUUUAUUGGGGUGAUAUUAAAAUUUAAAAAACUUUUAAUGAUUAAAAUCAUUAAUGUAUGAAUAUUUGAUCCAUUAGUAAUGAUAAAAAAUUUAAGUUACUUUAGGGAUAACAGCGUAAUUUUUUUGGAGAGUUCAUAUCGAUAAAAAAGAUUGCGACCUCGAUGUUGGAUUAAGAUAUAAUUUUGGGUGUAGCCGUUCAAAUUUUAAGUCUGUUC